UACGUAGGUGGCAAGCGUUGUCCGGAUUUAUUGGGUUUAAAGGGUGCGUAGGUGGCUUUGUAAGUCAGCGGUGAAACUCUGGAGCUUAACUCCAGACCGGCCAUUGAUACUGCAGAGCUUGAGUUCGAACGAGGUAGGCGGAAUUGACGGUGUAGCGGUGAAAUGCAUAGAUAUCGUCAAGAACACCAAUAGCGAAGGCAGCUUACUAGAACGACACUGACACUGAGGCACGAAAGCGUGGGUAGCAAACAGG
rnacentral:rRNA from 1 species